rnacentral:rRNA from 1 species
AUGUCGAAGAUAGCUGCUGAGUAUGGAAUGGAUGUCUUUGCUUAUCAGAGAAUGUUCAAGAAGUGCAUGCUGAACCCCACGUUCAUUGCAGCCAUUGAGCGCGUGAACGAUGACGGUUCUGAAUUCGGAAGGCUCAUGGAUCAGCUGAUGCGGCAAGCAAUCAUGAAUUAUUUCGCCGAGCAGGGCAUGGACAGGUCAUUCUCCACGUCUGGAUAUGCUGGUGGUGGACGAGCCGAUGCUAGCCGUACUAGCAGUGUGCCACCGUCGGACAGUAAUGGCCAAGAUGGUGAGAACUUCUCCCUGAUGUCGGCCGUGCAGCAGGCCCUUGCUGCUGGUGGUGCGAGCAGUGGACAGCCUAACGCAGCUCAGCUGGACAGUGUGGUCUCCUGGAUUAACAGCCCGCGUGGAGCCGCUUUUGCGUCGGUGGGAGCCGCUAGAUUAGGAGUGGAUCUUGUUGCUAUUGAGAGAACAUGGAAUAAGUGCUGGCUGAACCCUGAGAACACCGAGAUAAUUGCUGCCAUACAUAGCGCGUUGCAGAACGAUGACGAUUCUGAAUUCAACCGGCUGCUCGCGCAGCUGAUGCGGCAAGAAAGCAUGAUUUACUUCGUGGAGCAAUACAUGGACGGGCCAUCCUCCAGGCUGCCACCGAAGCUCGACACCAACAGCAUUGCACUCACGUGGCUCGACACCCUGAAUGGAGCCACUUUUAUAUCGAAGGGAGCCACUACAUUUGGAAUGGAUCCUGAUGCUUUUGAAAGAAUAGCGAAGAAGUGCAUACAAAACAGUGAUUUGAUUGCAGUCAUCGAAAGUGCAGAGCAGAACAAUGACGAUUCUGAAUUGAACCAGGAUUUGUUGCAGCUAAUGUUGCCAGGAAUCGAGAGUUACUUCGCGGAGCAGGACAUGGAUGGACCAUCCUCCAGGCCACCACCUAAGUUGCACACUCAGCUCGACACCGACGGCAUUGCACUCUCGUGGCUCAACACCCUAGAUGGAGACGCUUUUAUAUCGAAGGGAUCCGCUACAUUUGGAAUGGAUCCCGAUGCUUUUGAAAGAGUGGCGAAGAAGUGCAUACAAAACCCUGAUUUUAUUGCAGUCAUCGACAACGUGGAGCAGAACGAUGAUGAUUCUGAACUGAACCAGGACCUGUUGCAGCUAAUGUUGCCAGGAAUCGAGAGUUACUUCGCGGAGCAGGACAUGGACGGACCAUCCUCCAGGCCACCACUUAAGCUCGACACCAACGGCAUUGCACUCUCCUGGCUCGACACCCUGGAUGGAGCCGCUUUUAUGUCGGAUGGAGCCGCUACGUCUGGAAUGGAUCCCGUUGCUUUUGAAAUAAUAGCCAAGAAGUGCAUACAAAACCCCAAUUUGCAUGCAAUCAUCGACAACGCGGAGCAGAACAAUGACCACUCUGAAUUGAAACAGGCCCUGGUGCAGUUGAUGGGGAUAGGAAUCGAGAAUUAUUUGGCGGAACAGGACAUGGACGGACCAUUCUCCAGGCCACCACCUAAGCUCGACACCGUCAGCCCUUUUCUCCUCUGGCGCAACACCACGGAUGCAACCGCUAAGUUUGGAAUGGAUCCCGCCGCUUUUGAGAGAAUAAUGAAGAAGUACGUGUUGAACCCCGAGUUGAUUGCAGCCAUAGACAGGGCGGUGCAGAACAAUGACGGUUCUGAAUUCCUCAGGCUCAUGGAUCAGCUGGCGGAGCCAGAAACCAUGAGUUAUUUCAAGGAGCAAUACAUGGGCGGUCCACCUAAGCGCGACACCCCUGGUGAUGUGCUCUCCUGGCUCAACAGCCCGGAUGGAGCCGAUUUUAUGUUGGAAUAA